UGGGGAAUAUUGCACAAUGGGGGAGACCCUGAUGCAGCGACGCCGCGUGAGUGAAGAAGUCAUUCGUGAUGUAAAGCUCUAUCAGCAGGGAAGAAAAUGACGGUACCUGACUAAGAAGCCCCGGCUAACUACGUGCCAGCAGCCGCGGUAAUACGUAGGGGCAAGCGUUAUCCGGAUUUACUGGGUGUAAAGGGAGCGUAGACGGCAUAGCAAGUCCGGAGUGAAAGCCCGGGGCCCAACCCGGCAGCUGCUCUGAACUGAUUAUAGCUUGAGUGCGGGAGGGGCAGGCGGAAUUCCUGGUGUAGCGGUGAAAUGCGUAGAUAUCAGGAGGAACACCGGCGGCGAAGGCGGCCUGCUGGACCGUAACUGACGUUGAGGCUCGAAAGCGUGGGGAGCAAACAGGAUUAGAUACCC
rnacentral:rRNA from 1 species